ACUCACUCACUGUAAUGUGCACGCAGCUGCAGCACAGCCUCAUUAUACGUAUGUGGAGGCUGGGCUGACUGAACUGUAGGGGGAGCUGCAGAGUCACUUCACCCGGCCAGCUCCUCUCAGGCAGUUCCCAUGGGCCUUUGAGAGUUCAGAGGUCGGGUGAGGAAGUGUUUCUGCAGCAGGUCCGUGUCUGGCAUGCUGGAGGGGGGAUGGCUGAUCGGAGAACUCGGACAGACAGCUCCAGUGAUGAGGAGGGCACAGCUGCGGGCAGCCAGAAAACAAAGAGCCUUAUGUACACCUGGUGCGGAGGUGCAGCCCUGCCCCACCCCCAACCCGAUCGCAGGCCACGCCCAUGUUCCCCUGGACUACGCGGAGAACACCAGAGGAGCGGAACCCAUAACUUCUACUGAGGCCGUCCUGUGUGAGCUUGCAUGGAAGGAGCAACGGUGGCUGGGACCCGGGAGCUGCAUUAGAGGAGUGGAAUACAGGUAACCAAUGGAGGAACUGACAGAGCGGAUCUGCAGAUGUUGAACGUCUAGCGAGGAAGAUUAGCCUCGCA